rfam:Harpegnathos saltator strain R22 G/1 HarSal_1.0_1.contig1844, whole genome shotgun sequence.
AAAUCGGCCCUUUUAAGGGCCAUUAUAUAUUUCUAACUUUGGCAG